rnacentral:sRNA from 1 species
GACCUAAACUCUAAAAACCUUUAAUUUUUUUAGAGCAUGGUCACAAAUCCUAUACAAAUAAACAAGGUCUUCUGAUCAGCAUUUAUUUGUAUAGGUCUAUACUCGAAAGGGUAUAGGAUAACUUCGAAAGGAGCUAUC